GACGAACGCUGGCGGCGUGCUUAACACAUGCAAGUCGAACGGAAAGGCCCUGCUUGCAGGGUACUCGAGUGGCGAACGGGUGAGUAACACGUGGGUGAACUGCCCUGCACUUCGGGAUAAGCUUGGGAAACUGGGUCUAAUACCGGAUAGGAGCCAUCUUUAGUGUGGUGGUUGGAAAGUUUUUUCGGUGUAGGAUGAGCUCGCGGCCUAUCAGCUUGUUGGUGGGGUAAUGGCCUACCAAGGCGGCGACGGGUAGCCGGCCUGAGAGGGUGUACGGCCACAUUGGGACUGAGAUACGGCCCAGACUCCUACGGGAGGCAGCAGUGGGGAAUAUUGCACAAUGGGCGCAAGCGUGAUGCAGCGACGCCGCGUGGGGGAUGAAGGCCUUCGGGUUGUAAACUCCUUUCGCUAGUGACGAAGCUUGUUUGUGACGGUACCUAGAGAAGAAGCACCGGCUAACUACGUG
rnacentral:rRNA from 1 species